rnacentral:rRNA from 1 species
UACGUAGGGGGCUAGCGUUGUUCGGAAUCAUUGGGCGUAAAGAGCGUGUAGGCGGUCCGGUAAGUCCGCUGUGAAAGUCGGGGGCUCAACCCUCGAAUGCCGGUUGAUACUGUCGGGCUAGAGUACGGAAGAGGCGAGUGGAAUUCCUGGUGUAGCGGUGAAAUGCGCAGAUAUCAGGAGGAACACCUAUUGCGAAGGCAGCUCGCUGGGCCGUAACUGACGCUGAGACGCGAAAGCGUGGGGAGCGAACAGG